GACGAACGCUGGCGGCGUGCUUAACACAUGCAAGUCGAACGGAAAGGCCCUGCUUUUGUGGGGUGCUCGAGUGGCGAACGGGUGAGUAACACGUGAGUAACCUGCCCUUGACUUUGGGAUAACUUCAGGAAACUGGGGCUAAUACCGGAUAGGAGCUCCUGCUGCAUGGUGGGGGUUGGAAAGUUUCGGCGGUUGGGGAUGGACUCGCGGCUUAUCAGCUUGUUGGUGGGGUAGUGGCUUACCAAGGCUUUGACGGGUAGCCGGCCUGAGAGGGUGACCGGCAACAUUGGGACUGGGAUACGGCCCAGACUCCUACGGGAGGCAGCAGUGGGGAAUAUUGCACAAUGGGCGGAGGCCUGAUGCAGCAACGCCGCGUGCGGGAUGACGGCCUUCGGGUUGUAAACCGCUUUCGCCUGUGACGAAGCGUGAGUGACGGUAAUGGGUAAAGAAGCACCGGCUAACUACGUG
rnacentral:rRNA from 1 species